rnacentral:rRNA from 1 species
AUUGAACGCUGGCGGCAGGCCUAACACAUGCAAGUCGAGCGGAUGAAGGGAGCUUGCUCCUGGAUUCAGCGGCGGACGGGUGAGUAAUGCCUAGGAAUCUGCCUGGUAGUGGGGGAUAACGUCCGGAAACGGGCGCUAAUACCGCAUACGUCCUGAGGGAGAAAGUGGGGGAUCUUCGGACCUCACGCUAUCAGAUGAGCCUAGGUCGGAUUAGCUAGUUGGUGGGGUAAAGGCCUACCAAGGCGACGAUCCGUGACUGGUCUGAGAGGAUGAUCAGUCACACUGGAACUGAGACACGGUCCAGACUCCUACGGGAGGCAGCAGUGGGGAAUAUUGGACAAUGGGCGAAGGCCUGAUCCAGCCAUGCCGCGUGUGUGAAGAAGGUCUUCGGAUUGUAAAGCACUUUAAGUUGGGAGGAAGGGCAGUAAGUUAAUACCUUGCUGUUUUGACGUUACCAACAGAAUAAGCACCGGCUAACUUCGUG